CACAGUGUGGUGUUUAAAUCCGCAACGAUCACAGCCCAGCGGGGGACUCAGCAGGGAACCUGGGCAAGAUGGAUGCAGGGAUUCAACGACGGCCCGGUCUGGCCAGGCCAAGCUUCUGGCCCCUCCUACAGCGAUUUCCUUAGAAGUUUCCAGAGCUGAAUUCUGACACGGACCAGAUAUCCCUGGAAUUCUCUCCUCAGCAGGAGGUUACUUCAAGGCUGGAGUUCACUCUCAGCUAGAGAUUGACUGCGAUUGAUUUGUGAGCUGCGUGGACUCAUGAUGGUGCUGGCCCCUUCAGCAGAUGGAACAAUAAUUCAAAAGAAGCCAUUGGAGCGAGACAUGCCACCUGGUACCUCCUAGCCCCCCGUGCCUCUUCUGCAGUCCAAGCCCCUCUUCUUAAACCAGGGCCCCCUCUCCAGAAAUUGGAAAAUGGCAAUUUUUGGAAAGGAUUCUGGCCAGCCUUUCCUUGCUAGCAACGGAUAAUGAAAUUUACUUUCUUUUUAACACACCUUGCUCUUAUUUUGGCUUCUUUCUGCAAGUGGCAAGCAACCUGACCCUCUUUCGGUUACAAGUCUCAACGAAAUGGAAUGGGAAUGAUAGUAAGAAACAGGAUUUCAGCACAAAUAUGGUCAUGUGAUUGUAGCACUCUUUUUUUUUUUUUUUUUUUUCUGAGACCGAGUCUCACUCUGUCACCCAGGCUGGAGAACAGUGGCAUGAUCUCAGCUCACUGCAACCUCCACCUCCCAGGUUCAAGUGAUUCUCGUGCCUCAGCCUCCCGAGUAGGUGGGAUUACAGGCACCCGCCAACAUGUCCGGCUAAUUUUUGUAUUUUUAGUAGAGACGGGGUUUUGCCAUGUUGGCCAGGCUGGUCUCAAACUUCUGACCUCAAGUGAUUUGCCUGCCUCAGCUUCCCAAAGUGCUGGGAUUACAAGCGUGAGCCACCG
rnacentral:lncRNA from 10 species